UACGUAGGGUGCGAGCGUUAAUCGGAAUUACUGGGCGUAAAGCGUGCGCAGGCGGUUUUGUAAGCCAGAUGUGAAAUCCCCGGGCUUAACCUGGGAAUGGCAUUUGGGACUGCAAGGCUGGAGUGCGGCAGAGGAGACUGGAAUUCCUGGUGUAGCAGUGAAAUGCGUAGAUAUCAGGAGGAACACCGAUGGCGAAGGCAGGUCUCUGGGCUGACACUGACGCUCAUGC
rnacentral:rRNA from 1 species